rnacentral:rRNA from 1 species
GACGAACGCUGGCGGCGUGCUUAACACAUGCAAGUCGAACGGAAAGGCCCUGCUUUUGUGGGGUGCUCGAGUGGCGAACGGGUGAGUAACCCGUGAGUAACCUGCCCUUGACUUUGGGAUAACUUCAGGAAACUGGGGCUAAUACCGGAUAGGCGCUCCUGCUGCAUGGUGGGGGUUGGAAAGUUUCGGCGGUUGGGGAUGGACUCGCGGCUUUUCAGCUUGUUGGUGGGGUAGUGGCUUACCAAGGCUUUGACGGGUAGCCGGCCUGAGAGGGUGACCGGCCACAUUGGGACUGGGAUACGGCCCAGACUCCUACGGGAGGCAGCGGUGGGGAACAUUGCACAAUGGGCGGAAGCCGGAUGCAGCAACGCCGCGUGCGGGAUGACGGCCUUCGGGUGUUAAACCGCUUUCGCCUGGGACGAAGCGUGAGUGACGGUAAUGGGUAAAGAAGCACCGGCUAACUACGUG